UACAGAGGUCCCGAGCGUUGUUCGGAUUCAUUGGGCGUAAAGGGCGCGUAGGUGGCGCGACAAGUCAACGGUGAAGCUCGGCGCUCAACGCCGAGUCGGCCGUCGAUACUGUUGGCUUGAGCACUGUAGAGGCUAAUGGAAUUCCGGGUGUAGCGGUGGAAUGCGUAGAGAUCCGGAAGAACACCGGUGGCGAAGCGUUAGCUGGGCAGUGCUGGACGACUGAGGCGCGACAGC
rnacentral:rRNA from 1 species